GCCAGCAGCUCUAUCACCUUGUGGCUCAAAGCUUCCACUGCUCACAGGUGUGAGCCUGGUCAGUACCUGGAUGGGAGACCUCCUGGGAAAGCUAAGGGUGCUGCUGGAA
rnacentral:rRNA from 1 species